rnacentral:lncRNA from 13 species
UCUAAACAUAAACUGGAAGAAAAUUAUAAAAGUCAGCCUUAGAACUUAGUGCCUUUAUGCAGGAAAUCCUCAAAUUAGCCUCCUCGGUCUUUUAUAACUGAGAGCAGAAUAAGGAGAAUAGGGCUAGGGAGAAAGAGAAAUGCAGGGACUAGAGGCAGGCUCAACUACUGGCUGCUUUGCAAGCCCACCAGUCCCCUCCAGAUCGCCCUAAGGAUACUCCUCCAGAGCCAAUAAAAGCCCCUUGGGGGUGUGCUGAAGAUGGCGCUGUAGGACCAACUCAGGAUUUCAGCUCCCAGUGAAUCCGCAGAUGACUAUGGAAAUGAUGUCAGACAAAAAGCAAAUUUGAGUGAUUUUCUUGAGUUCAAUAUGGGUUAUAAAGCAGUGGAGACAACUCACACCAUCAACAACAUAUUUUGCCCAGGAACUGCUAACAAAUGUGCAGUGCAGUGGUGGUU